UCUAGUUAAUUCUACUAGUAAUUAUAUACUUAUCUUAAAGAUUAAGCUAUAUAUAUCUAAGUAUAAGCAAUUAUAUAGUAAAACUGCGAAUAGCUUAUUAUAUAAGUUAUUAUUUAUUUAAUAGUACCUUACUACUUAGAUAACUAUAGUAAUUUUAGAGCUAAUAUAUGCUAAAAAUCCUAACUUUAAAAGGAAUAUAUUUAUUAGAUUAAAAACCAAUGCCCUCUAGGCUCUUAGUAAUUUAUAAUAACUUUUUAAAUUGCAUAGCCUUAUACUAGUAAUAGUUUAUUUAAAUUUCUUCCUAUUAACUUUUAAUAUUUAGGUCUUAGCUAAAUAUAGUCGUAAUAGGUAAUAAGGGUUAGGCUUAACCCUAAGAAGGAGCCUAAGAAAUAGCUACUAUAUCUAAGGAAGGUAGUAAGCGCGCAAAUUACCUAAUCCCGAUUUAGGAGGUAGUAAUAAUAAAUACUAAUAUAGGGCUCUUUUAGGUCUUAUAAUUAGAAUAAGUAUAAUUUAAAUCUCUUAAUAAGGAACAAUUAGAGGGCAAGUCUAGUGCUAGUAGCUAUAGUAAUUCCAGCUCUAAUAGUGUAUAUUAAAGUUAUUAUAGUUAAAAAGCUUGUAGUUAAACCUUAGGCCUAGCUAGCUAGUCCGCCUUACUGUGUGUACUAGUCUGGCUAGGCCUUUCCCUCUAUAGAACCCUAUACUCUUUACUAAGUAUGGUAGUAAAAUAGGACUUUUACUUUAAAAAAAUUAAAGUACUCUAGGUAGGCCUAUACUUAAAUAUAUUAGUAUAGAAUAAUAAAAUAGGACGCGUAGUUCUAUUUUAUUGGUUUCUAGGACCACUAUAAUAAUUAAUAAGGAUAGUUAGGGGCAUUAGUAUUUAAUUAUUAGAGGUGAAAUUCUUAGAUUUAUUAAAGACUAACUACUAUAAAAGCAUUUACUAAGAAUAUUUUUAUUAAUUAGGAAUAAAAGUUAGGGGAUUAAAGACAAUUAGAUACUAUUAUAGUCUUAACUAUAAACUAUACUAACUAGGGAUUAGAUAAUAUUAUUUUUUAAUGUAUUUAGCACCUUAUGAGAAAUUAAAGUGCUUAGGCUCUAGGGGAGUAUAGUUGUAAGGCUAAAACUUAAAGAAAUUAAUAGAAGGGCACUACUAGGGUAAACUGCUUUACAUAGCCAUAGUAGCUCUACCCUAGAAAGCAGCCUAAAAGGGUUAGUAGUGUUCCUACUAGCGCUCUAGUGUGGCGAACUAAUUGCUAGUCUCCUCUAGAGUAAUACCCUUAAAUUGCAAGAAAAUCCUAAAGCUAGUAUACUAAGCUAGCACUAAAAGGGCUUAGUAGCUAGGGUAGUGACCUAGGGUAUAGUAAAAGUACACUAGAUAAUGCAAUAGACAAUCGCAGCUAAGCCUUGUUGCUAUAGGGCAGGGAAGGUUUAGAGACUACAUAGGGGUAGGUAGUGUACUAUCUAGGGGCUCUAGCCCCUAAGCGCCCGCUUAUAACAUUACUUAAGAUAUAGUCUAGCUAUGCUAGAAAUAGCAUAGGCUAGUAAACCUAGAAAUAGAGCCUAUAGCUUAAUUUAACUUAAUAUAGGGAAACUUACUAGGUCUAGAUAUAAUAAGGAUUAAUAGAUUAAGAGCUCUUUCUUAAUUUUAUAGGUAGUAAUGUAUAGCUAUUCUUAGUUAGUAAAGUAAUUUAUCUACUUAAUUAUAAUAAUAAACAAGACCUUAACCUACUAAAUAGCCUAUAUUGCUUUAGA
rnacentral:rRNA from 1 species